rnacentral:lncRNA from 1 species
CUCCCUCUGGGCCCAGGGACUAUUGCUGAAGAGGGGUUGCUGGAAUUUCCUGUUUCUGUUUGGACUCAAAAUAUCACAUAAAAUUCUAUUUUCUCUGAACACUUUGGGUCCUGGCUUGACCCAGGAAGGCAUAUUUUAAUUUAAAUGAAAAACAUACACGUCGGAGACUCUUCACCAUCUUCCUCAGUUCUGAUGGAAGAGGCCAUGGCUGUGUACUGACAAUAUUCUUCUACUGACAAAAUG